UACGUAGGCAGCGAGCGUUUGUUCGGAAUUACUGGGCGUAAAGAGUGUGUAGGCGGUGCUCCCAGUCUGUUGUGAAAUCUCCCGGCUUAACUGGGAGGGUGCAGCGGAAACUAGAGUGCUAGAGGGUGGGAGAGGUAAGCGGAAUUCCUGGUGUAGCGGUGAAAUGCGUAGAUAUCAGGAGGAACACCGGUGGUGUAGACGGCUCUCUGGACCGUAACUGACGCUGAGGCACGAAAGCGUGGGUAGCAAACAGG
rnacentral:rRNA from 1 species